rnacentral:rRNA from 1 species
UGCAUGGCUGUCGUCAGCUCGUGUUGUGAAAUGUUGGGUUAAGUCCCGCAACGAGCGCAACCCUUAUCCUUUGUUGCCAGCGAUUCGGUCGGGAACUCAAAGGAGACUGCCAGUGAUAAACUGGAGGAAGGUGGGGAUGACGUCAAGUCAUCAUGGCCCUUACGAGUAGGGCUACACACGUGCUACAAUGGCAUAUACAAAGAGAAGCGACCUCGCGAGAGCAAGCGGACCUCAUAAAGUAUGUCGUAGUCCGGAUUGGAGUCUGCAACUCGACUCCAUGAAGUCGGAAUCGCUAGUAAUCGUGGAUCAGAAUGCCACGGUGAAUACGUUCCCGGGCCUUGUACACACCGCCCGUCACACCAUGGGAGUGGGUUGCAAAAGAAGUAGGUAGCUUAACCUUCGGGAGGGCGCUUACCACUUUGUGAUUCAUGACUGGGGUGAAGUCGUAACAAGGUAGCCGUAAUCUAGAUGC